rnacentral:lncRNA from 1 species
GGGGACGUCUUCGGCGCCGCACACUGACGAGGUUUUCCCUGCCUAACGAGGUCAGUUUCGCAUCUCAUCGCUAUCCAUAUAGUACAGUGUUUCAUUCAACUUGUUCGGAUUUCAAAUUGUUGCACGGAAUCUUUUAAAAAAAAUAAAUUGCUACACGCAGACCGCAGAUAUUUUAAAUUUUGGAUGCAGAUUGGAUUGGACAGGGCUUACGGAAAAAAAAUACUGUAGGAGCAGUUCGCACUGUAGCACGGCCUGUUCUUGCUGCAGCUGUGCAUCCUAUCAUCAUUGGAUCCGACAAAUGACGAACCAUGCUGUGGUCUGUGGAAGGUAGUGAUCGGUGACCUCAUGCAUUACAUAUCGCGAAAAGGAUACCGGACAGUCG